UACAGAGGUGGCAAGCGUUGUUCGGAAUUACUGGGCGUAAAGCGUGCGCAGGCGGUUUUGUAAGCCAGAUGUGAAAUCCCCGGGCUUAACCUGGGAAUGGCAUUUGGGACUGCAAGGCUGGAGUGCGGCAGAGGAGACUGGAAUUCCUGGUGUAGCAGUGAAAUGCGUAGAUAUCAGGAGGAAUACCGAUGGCGAAGGCAGGUCUCUGGGCUGACACUGACGCUCAUGCACGAAAGCGUGGGGAGCAAACAGG
rnacentral:rRNA from 1 species